GCGCGCUCAGUCCCGGCCCCCGCGGGGGCGGCGGCGGGGCCAGGGGAGGAGCGGCAGCGGGCCCAGCACAGGUGUCCAUAGAAUUUUCAAGCAGAAGUACUGAUUUACAAAUAAGAGUGGACUCUUCAAAUGAAUAUAGUCUGCUAUACACUGAACCCAAAUUUUCAAAAAUGGCCUGGAAUUCAAUGUACCUCAGAAUAGAGCAAUACAAUUUUGGACACUUGAUUCAGGCAGGAGCUGAUUUUCCCUCUAGUUCCCCCUGAAAUUAAGUGCAUUGCAAGUUGAAAUCUGAAGAUGGUUGACUAGUUCAGUACACACAUUACAAUGAUAAAAGCCACAUAUGCUACGUGGGGUUUUUCUUACAGAAAUCCAAUUUUGGUGCCAGAUAACGCUGCCAUACUUUUCUGUUUCUUUUUUCUUCUUUUUCUUUUUUUCUCUAGCUGAUCUAGAAAAGGUUGUCUAAAUAAUCUGAAUAAUGAUCUAAAUUGAUAAUUUAGAUUAACAAUCAUCACAGAUACUGCUUAAUUUCUUCUUAUUUUUUUAUUUUUUCAUUUUGUGGAACAGGAAUGUAUUUCUUUCUUUUGAUACUUUCAGUCAAAAUGAAUGAUACCACCUUUCUUCAGUAGCUAUUUCUCAGUUACUCUUAUGUCAAGGAUAAUGUUCUGAAUGAUAUUUAGAAACCACUUCCAUAAUUGUAUGUGCUGUUUAUUUAAGCCAUGUAGAAUUUUAAAGUUGUCUCUAUUAGCUGAUGGUAGGGCACGUAUCCCAUAAACAAACAUGUUUUUAUAGUUAAAAGAGAUAUUGCUGUCUCUACACAGCCUUUGACUAUUACUGCCAAUUAAAUCAUUGACACUUCA